UACGAAGGGGGCUAGCGUUGCUCGGAAUCACUGGGCGUAAAGGGUGCGUAGGCGGGUUUUUAAGUCAGAGGUGAAAUCCUGGAGCUCAACUCCAGAACUGCCUUUGAUACUGAGAAUCUUGAGUAUGGGAGAGGUGAGUGGAACUGCGAGUGUAGAGGUGAAAUUCGUAGAUAUUCGCAAGAACACCAGUGGCGAAGGCGGCAUUCUGGACUACAACUGACACUGAGGAACGAAAGCCAGGGGAGCAAACGGG
rnacentral:rRNA from 1 species